rnacentral:rRNA from 1 species
GACGAACGCUGGCGGCGUGCUUAACACAUGCAAGUCGAACAGAAAGGCCCUGCUUUUGUGGGGUGCUCGAGUGGCGAACGGGUGAGUAACACGUGAGUAACCUGCCCUUGACUUUGGGAUAACUUCAGGAAACUGGGGCUAAUACCGGAUAGGAGCUCCUGCUGCAUGGUGGGGGUUGGAAAGUUUCGGCGGUUGGGGAUGGACUCGCGGCUUAUCAGCUUGUUGGUGGGGUAGUGGCUUACCAAGGCUUUGACGGGUAGCCGGCCUGAGAGGGUGACCGGCCACAUUGGGACUGAGAUACGGCCCAGACUCCUACGGGAGGCAGCAGUGGGGAAUAUUGCACAAUGGGCGGAAGCCUGAUGCAGCAACGCUGCGUGCGGGAUGACGGCCUUCGGGUUGUAAACCGCUUUCGCCUGUGACGAAGCGUGAGUGACGGUAAUGGGUAAAGAAGCACCGGCUAACUACGUG